AACGAACGUUAGCGGCGCGCCUAACACAUGCAAGUCGCACGAGAAAGGGCUUCGGCCCCGGUACAGUGGCGCACGGGUGAGUAACACGUAGGCAAUCUCCCCUUGAGUGGUGGAUAACCUUCCGAAAGGAGGGCUAAUACAGCAUGAGACCACGGGUUCGCAGAACUUGUGGCCAAAGCGGACCUCUUCAUGAAAGUUCGCGCUUGAGGAUGAGCCUGCGGCCCAUCAGCUAGUUGGUAGGGUAAUGCCUACCAAGGCGAAGACGGGUAGCUGGUCUGAGAGGACGAACAGCCACACUGGAACUGAGACACGGUCCAGACUCCUACGGGAGGCAGCAGUGGGGAAUCUUGCGCAAUGGGCGAAAGCCUGACGCAGCGACGCCGCGUGAGCGAUGAAGGCCUUCGGGUUGUAAAGCUCUGUGGGGAGAGACGAAUAAGGUGCAGCUAAUACCUGCAUCGAUGACGGUAUCUCCUUAGCAAGCACCGGCUAACUCUGUGCCAGCCGCCGCCGUAA
rnacentral:rRNA from 1 species